GCUAGUUGUAUUAACUAUUAGUUAAUACAAGAUCGACUAUGUCGACUAAAGUUCUAGGUAGAAUAAUGAUGAUGACAAUUUUCUACCUAUAUGUCUUGACCAAAUCUCGUGCCAGCAGUCGCGGUAAUACGUGAAAGACUAGUGUUAUUCAUCUUUAAUAGGUUUAAAGGGUACCUAGACGGUUUAUCUAGCCCAAAACAGGGUACGGAUUUUCUAGAGUUUUAUGUGAGGAGGGGAGUACUCAUAGAGUAAAGAUGAAAUUUUGUGAUACUAUGGGGAAACUGGUGGCGGCGAAAGCAACCUUCUAUGUAUAAACUGACGUUGAGGGACGAAGGCUUGGGUAGCAAAUAGGAUUAGAUACCCUAGUAGUCCAAGCAGACAAUUCUGAAUGCCAUAGAUUAGAUUUUUUUUUGGUCUAUAAAUGAAAGUGUAAGCAUUCCACCUUAGGAGUAAUGUGGCAACACAGGAACUGAAAUCAUUAGACCGUUUCUGAAACCAGUAGUGAAGUAUGUUAUUUAAUUUGUUAGUCCUCAAAAAACCUUACCACAACUUGAAUAUUAUUUAAUUAAUACAAGCGUUGCACGGCUGUCUUCAGUUAAUGUCGUGAGAUUUUGGUUAACUCCCUCAAUUAACGUAAACCCUUACUUUAUU
rnacentral:rRNA from 1 species